rnacentral:lncRNA from 1 species
AAUUGCAUUAAAGAUAGAGUAUUCUAAUGAGUUCAUGUCUUAUCAAUAAUUACUCUUGAUAGUAAACUAUGAACAUAUUAUGAGAGUUAUUGCAUCUCCUGCUAUAGAGUUAUGUAAGUUAUGUAUAAUAAUUUUAUUUUUAUAAUUAUGGUCACACAGUCUGCAAUUUAUAUAGAUCUGAUAUAUGUUGAUCCAUACUUACAUAGCAAUUCCAUGACUUCAAAAGAAAAAUCUACUGAUCAAAACAGAUAAUAUAAUGCAGAGAUAUGAGAAGAUGCAUGCUGCAUAAUGGAUUUUAAUCAUUUAAUUUCAUCAUUUAUGACGUGUAUAUGUUUUAUAAGCUAAAAAGAACAGUACAGCAGUAGGCAAAAAAGAAUCUUUUAUUUUACAAAAGAAAUGUUUUCAAACACUGUCAACUGGUCUACAUCAGUUUUAGUUACCCUUUCUUGUGUAAGCCAACUUCUAGCUUGUUUUAUUGACACUUCCUUCCUUCUCUCUUCAGCAGACAAAGGCCUAGACUUCUUAAAAGUUUCUGCUAUUCUCCAAUAUAUAUGUUCUGCUUCUAGAGAGUUGUUGUGUUUAAGUAGAAGUUCCAAGCUGGAAAUGAGAAUUUUGGGAUUAAGUCUUCUCCUGAUCAUUGUGUGAGAAUGAGGUUAACAAAAUAUUCAGGAAAUUGUAUCCAAUCCAUAGUAAUCCAUUACUGUGGAUAGGAUACAAUUUCUUUAGCUUUGUGUUCCCAGUUGUUUACUGAAAAUCUAUUUGAGCUUUUUUUAUAUAGUUCAUUCUUAGUUUUACUCCAAGUUGUGCUGUUCUAUCCUCUUUAAUAACCUUUAUGGCAUUUUUUCUCAUGUUCAUUAUGUGCACAGAUUCUAUUCUAUUAGUUGAAUUUCUCUAAAUAAGCUAUACAUCCAUUUCAUUAUUUUUGUGAUGCAAUAUGUAAGGACCUUUCCUUAAUUUGCAAUAAGAAACUGGAUGUACAUACUGGUAGUUUAAUCCUGUGGAUGGUCAUUGGGAAAACUCCAUUGUUCUGAUAUAACAAAUAAAUACUUUGCUUUGUAUACUAUAGGAAAAAAAACACAGCUCUAUAAGCAAAGGAUUUUAAUAUGGC